CCUUGGUCUCGCCAAAUAUCAAAAUGUUUCAGAGAAAAUAUUUAUAUUUUAAAAUAUAAAAAAGGCGUGUUAUCCAGUUCCUCCCGUAUCCACGACUUCAGGAUGGAGAGGAGAAAAUGCUGUGGUUUGAUACCAUGGACCAUUAGUAUCUCCAUAAUAUUUCUUCUUAUUCAUACUGGACUUUUGGUCAUCAAUAUUUUCAUCUUAAAUAG